GAUGAAGAACGCAGCGAAAUGCGAUAAGUAAUGUGAAUUGCAGAAUUCAGUGAAUCAUCGAAUCUUUGAACGCACAUUGCGCCCGCCAGUAUUCUGGCGGGCAUGCCUGUUCGAGCGUCAUUUCAACCAUCAAGCCCCCGGCUUGUGUUGGGGACCUGCGGCUGCCGCAGGCCCUGAAAAGCAGUGGCGGGCUCGCUGUCACACCGAGCGUAGUAGCAUACAUCUCGCUCUGGGCGUGCUGCGGGUUCCGGCCGUUAAACCACCUUCAUAACCCAAGGUUGACCUCCGAUCAGGUAGGAAGACCCGCUGAACUUAAGCAUAUCAAUAAGCGGAGGA
rnacentral:misc_RNA from 1 species